ensembl:lncRNA
GCGGAGUUCUCGCGAGGCUCUGGACCCGAGUCUCGCGUGCAGCGUCUGCACACGGCCCCCGCCGCCAUCUUGAUUGCGUUGGGGAACCCGGUACAGUGCUGCCCACACAGCCAGGCUGCUGAAGGGCCUGAAGUUCCAGUCCCUCCAAACACACUUGCUCAUUCCCAGCCUCAAAGAAGACACCACCCUGACACCCAUGGUCACUCGCGAGAGAUGCUGAGGAGCCUCCCAAACCAGAAUCAUCUUGGAGCUUUGUCCUCUAUUCUGUAGAUGAGCCAGCAUCCGCUGUACCUCCUCAGAUCUCAUCACAGCGUCUUAGCUCCAUCUGCACCUGGGAUGGAGGAAGUCAACAGAGUAGCCACUGCAGGGUCCUAUGGAAACAGAUGAGCAAACUGAGGCUGAAGGAGAUUAAUUCACUCCCCGAGGCUGCAAAGCCAACGGCACAGUCAGGAUUUGAACCCUGGCAGGCUGCUCCAGGACUGCACCCCUGACUACUGUGCUUCUAACUGAGGAGCUACGCUCUUAAUUUUUUUUUUUUUUUCCCUUAAAAUUCUGUACAGCCUUUUGGACCUGUAUCUGUAGUUUCUUGCAUAAGAAGAGUUGUGGUUCAAGUUCAAGUCAUAGAUUACAGAUUUUCUCUGGUAUUAAAAAAUGAACUCCUUAUAUAAGUGUGUAUCAAUUUCUCAAGUAUUUGACUAUUAAUUAGCACCUAUAAUUAUAAGCC